rnacentral:rRNA from 1 species
UACGGGGGGUGCAAGCGUUAAUCGGAAUUACUGGGCGUAAAGCGCGCGUAGGCGGUUACGUCAGUCGGAUGUGAAAGCCCCGGGCUUAACCUGGGAAUUGCAUUCGAUACUGCGUGACUAGAGUCUGGUAGAGGGUAGCGGAAUUCCAGGUGUAGCGGUGAAAUGCGUAGAUAUCUGGAGGAACAUCAGUGGCGAAGGCGGCUACCUGGACCAAGACUGACGCUGAGGUGCGAAAGCGUGGGGAGCAAACAGG